rnacentral:rRNA from 1 species
GACGGACGCUGGCGGCGUGCUUAACACAUGCAAGUCGAACGGAAAGGCCCUGCUUUUGUGGGUUGCUCGAGUGGCGAACGGGUGAGUAACCCGUGAGUAACCUGCCCUUGACUUUGGGAUAACUUCAGGAAACUGGGGCUAAUACCGGAUAAGAGCUCCUUCUGCAUGGUGGGGGUUGGAAAGUUGCGGCGGUUGGGUAUGGGAUCGCGGCUUAUCAGCUUGUUGUUGGGGUAGUGGCGUACCAAGGCUUGGACGGGUAGCCGGCCUGAGAUGGUGACCGGCAACAGUAGGAUGGAGAUACGGCACAGACUACUACGGGAGGCAGCAGAGGAGAAUAGUGCACAAUGGGCGGAAGCAAGAUGCAGCAAAGCGGCGUGCGGGAGGACGGCCUGCGGGUUGGAAACCGCUUUCGCCUGUGACGAAGAGUGAGUGACGGUAAUGGGUAAAGAAGCAACGGCUAACUACGUG